UAGCUAGUUGGUGAGGUAAAGGCUUACCAAGGCGACGAUCUGUAGCGGGUCUGAGAGGAUGAUCCGCCACACUGGAACUGAGACACGGUCCAGACUCCUACGGGAGGCAGCAGUGGGGAAUUUUGGACAAUGGGGGCAACCCUGAUCCAGCCAUGCCGCGUGAGUGAAGAAGGCCUUCGGGUUGUAAAGCUCUUUCGGCCGGGAAGAAAUCGCAUGGGCCAAUACCCUGUGUGGAUGACGGUACCGGAAUAAGAAGCACCGGCUAACUACGUGCCAGCAGCCGCGGUAAUACGUAGGGUGCGAGCGUUAAUCGGAAUUACUGGGCGUAAAGCGUGCGCAGGCGGUUUUGUAAGACAGGCGUGAAAUCCCCGGGCUUAACCUGGGAACUGCGUUUGUGACUGCAAGGCUAGAGUACGGCAGAGGGGGGUGGAAUUCCACGUGUAGCAGUGAAAUGCGUAGAGAUGUGGAGGAACACCAAUGGCGAAGGCAGCCCCCUGGGUCGAUACUGACGCUCAUGCACGAAAGCGUGGGUAGCAAACAGGAUUAGAUACCCUGGUAGUCCACGCCCUAAACUAUGUCAACUAGGCGUUGGGUGGGUAAAACCAUUUAGUACCGUAGCUAACGCGUGAAGUUGACCGCCUGGGGAGUACGGCCGCAAGGUUAAAACUCAAAGGAAUUGACGGGGACCCGCACAAGCGGUGGAUGAUGUGGAUUAAUUCGAUGCAACGCGAAAAACCUUACCUACCCUUGACAUGCCAGGAACUUGCCAGAGAUGGCUUGGUGCCCGAAAGGGAGCCUGGACACAGGUGCUGCAUGGCUGUCUUCAGCUCGUGUCGUGAGAUGUUGGGUUAAGUCCCGCAACGAGCGCAACCCUUGUCGUUAAUUGCCAUCAUUUAGUUGGGCACUUUAACGAGACUGCCGGUGACAAACCGGAGGAAGGUGGGGAUGACGUCAAGUCCUCAUGGCCCUUAUGGGUAGGGCUUCACACGUCAUACAAUGGUCGGUACAAAGGGUUGCCAAGCCGCGAGGCGGAGCCAAUCCCAGAAAGCCGAUCGUAGUCCGGAUUGCAGGCUGCAACACGCCUGCAUGAAGUCGGAAUCGCUAGUAAUCGUGGAUCAGCAUGUCACGGUGAAUACGUUCCCGGGUCUUGUACACACCGCCCGUCACACCAUGGGAGCGGGUUCCGCCAGAAGUAGGUAGCCUAACCGCAAGGGGGGCGCUUACCACGGCGGGGCUCGUGACUGGGGUGAAGUCGUAACAAGGUAGCCGUAG
rnacentral:rRNA from 1 species